AGUAGCCAGGCAGGAAGUAUAGGUGACCAGAACAGGAGAAUUCUGGGAAGAGGAAAGGUUCAGUCUGUAGUCGACACAGAGGAAGCCAGAUGAGAACACCUCAGUGAUAAAGCCUCCACAAUGCAUCUCAGGUGUCCUGCCUGGCAGGCUGGUGUCUGCACAGACUGUAGCUUCCUAGUCUCAAAGAAGACCCAGCCUGACAUUUUCCAUCCUACGAGAAACACACCCCCUUGGAGAAAACGAGCCUCUUUUGCUUAAUGGCCUAGCAAUUGGGUUGGGAGCUAGAAAUAAAGUUGGCUUCCACCACAGCCUCUGGAAUUCCCAGUCUGGGUCACCUCACCUGGGACUUGUGGCAUCAGCCCAAGGGAGCUCAUCCUGGCCCCUGCCAUCUGCUCUGCACACACAGUGUUGGAACCCUGCUUCGGAAUUGAAUGGAUUCCAGCCUCAAGAGGAGGAAUUCGGAGGAAAAAAGAUAUUGAUGGAAAUCCCCCAGCCGCAGCUUCCUUAACAUGUAAUCAAGUUACCGUUCAUAUUUCCAAAUAAAGUCGAGCAGCUGAACCAGAA